CAUCUAAGUAAACGUCGACGUUGUUUUGAUUUGAAGACCUUGCAUAUAUAGAUAAUAACUGAAAGACUCUGAAUACAAGGAAACUCUUGAGGGAAUCUAAGCUAAGAUCAUGAAGAACGCACAACAAUUACCGCUUCUUCUUAUCGGCAUCGUAGUCAUGGUCGCAUUCUUCUCUGUUGAAUCGCUGCCGCCUAUGCAUAGCAGAUAUAUGGGUGCCCAUAUGUAUCCUGUCUAUUCGAGAGGAGGUGCUCAUAGGUAUCCUGGCUAUUUGAUAGGCGGUGCUCUUAUGUAUCUUGGCUAUUCGGGAGGCAGUGCUCAUACGUAUCCUAGCUAUUCGGGAGGCGGUGCUCAUAGAUAUCCUGGCUAUUCGGGAGGUGGUGCUCAUAGAUAUCCUGGCUAUUCGAGAGGUGGUGCUCCUAUGUAUCCUGGCUAUUCGGGAGGUGGUGGUCAGAUGUAUCCUUACUAUUUGAGAGGAGAUGGUCAUAUGUUUCCUGGCUAUUCGGUAGGCGGUGGUCAUGCGUAUACUGGCUAUUUGGGAAGCGGUCGUCAUAUGAAUCCUGGCUAUGUGGUAGGCGGUGGUCAUACGUUUCCAUGAGAAAAGCUGUUUUGAGCAAUUAUGCGUUUGUGUACAUUUACUCAAUGGAUAAAUGUAAAACCAGAAAAAUCACAAUAAAAGUAGUCUAGAGUUUUUUUAUGUGCAGUCAGCAACAAAUACAGCCACUCUAUCCAUAUAUGACUCAUUACACCAUACUUUUUGGACUACUACUAUUAGUCACUUCAUAUUUUGCAAAAUAUGUCUGACAAGAUGAUAUGGUCAGUAGAUAAGACAGUAUAGCAAAUAGACGAAACACAACUAGACAAGAUUUAAUAGGAAACAGACAUAAUAACACAGCUUUGAAUAAGUCAAUUUUGUAUGUUGAUAUAAUGGAAUGUCCGUUUGACAAGAUGGUCAGUAGACAAGACAGUACAGCAAACUUACAAGAAAACACAGCGAUAAACAAAUUAAUACUGAAUGUUAACAUAAUGAAACUAUAGUUGAUCACAUCACAGAGUUCCGGCGUUCCAUAUAGCGGGCUGUGAGUUCAUGUCACUACUCUAACUGUAAAUUACUAGAGUUCCGUAUAGUGUGUGAGUAAUUUACCACUGGCACGCUAAAGAACGAGAAAAAAACUCUGAAACUGGAGCGUUUCCUGUAUGAAUCGCCAAUAGGUUACAUUCUACCAAUUCAAUUUCUUCUUUAAUUCAUAUUAACAAUAAAAUAUUCAGUCCUUAUUUUCAUCACUUUAGAGCACUUCAAUGAUAUGAAAACCAGACACGGUCAUUUAGUAUGACAUGUCUUCCUAUCAAAAAUAGAAAAAUAUUGACAUGUUAUGUUGUAUAUAAGAAAAAUAAUCUGUUCUGAGAAACAAACCCUCUAAAAUGCCCCCAUGAAAACACCUGUUUAGCAAUCACGCGUAGGUAGACAUUUUUCGCAAAGAAUAAAACUUAUUCCAGGAAAUUCACACUAAAAUGGUCUAGAUCUUUUCUCUACAAUAAGCAAUAAAAUUAAGCCAAAAAUAUAACUGUCAUCUCCUCAUAUCACUCAUUUUACCAGAUUCCAUCCAUAGCAUGGAACUAAAUUUUGGACUACUUCAUUCAUAGUCACUUCCGGUUUGGUGUAAUCCGUCCAAUACGGUAUACCGGAAGUAAACAAUCUUGUGCGCAUGUGCACUGACGGAUAUUUCGGGGCUGACGAAUCUCACACUACACCGGUGGCAACUAUAAAUAAUCUUUAAACAAAGAAAUGUGUAACUGAAUAGAUAAAGUUGAAAUCAUGUAAAUUACGAUUUUAGAGAACAAAAAUAUUACAGUUAUUCUAUGACAGGUCUUGCAAGAUAGCGGCUGAAAAUCAAACGUUCGCUUACGUUGAAAUUCAAGGGGCGAUGUCCAGUUAUAAGUCAUUAUGAGUCCGAACGGUAUCUGUAUACAAUAGAUUGCCUCUACCUGCCUGCUCAUUUAUAUAUAAGAUUCGUUCACUCACCGUUUGAAUGUGCGGGCGGAAAUAUCUGGUCAGAGUAUACCCGUUUAGGCAAGAGCGAGGCUCUGCUGAGUUACCACAUGACAGUUACCAGAGAGCCAUUUCUUCCAUUUAAAUCAGAAGAACGCUUUUCUUUUAAGUACUAUUCUAUAUAAUUUUUACAGUUUCGCUUUGUAACUGUUUCAGUUAGUAAAUAGAAAAAUAAAAUAUCAAGUAUAACAAAAAAAUCAAACUAUUUUUAAUUCCUGUGUUGUUUUCUUUUCAUUUACUCCGAGGCAACCUAUUGUUUUAUAUAAAUGUAUAUGGUUUGUCAUCUAUUAAUGUAAAUGGGAUUCGUUUCUUUUCUAACGUUUUGUAGUUUAUAAACAUGGAUAAGUAUCAAAUAGGGAAUACCACUUUCAAAAAACGCGCCCCCACCACCCUAAAAAACAAACAAACAAACAAACAAA